rfam:Penicillium vulpinum strain IBT 29486 PENVTL_contig059, whole genome shotgun sequence.
GCAAGUGUGGCCGAGUGGUUAAGGCGCUGUGUUUAGGUAAUCAUAAAGUUGACUACAAAUCCGCAGUUCUAACGAGCGUGAGUUCGAAUCUCACCGCUUGCA